CCUACGGGAGGCAGCAGUGAGGAAUAUUGGUCAAUGGCCGGAAGGCUGAACCAGCCAUGCCGCGUGAAGGGCAGGGACCUAUGGGCGUUAAACUUCUUGUGUGCGGGAGCAAGAAUGGUCACGUGUGGCCAGACGAGAGUACCGUACGAAGAAGCAGCGGCGAACUCCGUGCCAGCAGCCGCGGUAAGACGGGGGAUGCAAGCGUUAUCCGGAGUUCUUGGGUUUCAAGGGUGCGUAGGCUGUGAGGUAAGUCAGCGGUGAAAUGCCCCCGCUCAACGGGGUGAAGUGCCAUUGAUACUGCCUUGCUGGACUGCGGCUGCCGUGGGAUGAAUGUGUGGUGUAGCGGUG
rnacentral:rRNA from 1 species